rnacentral:sRNA from 1 species
GGAGCUCCCCUGGGUGUUUCCCGGGCAGCCUGCCCUCUACUGCAGGUGGCCUCCAGCUGCUCAGAACAGCUGCAGAAGGAAUGUGGAUCCUGAGAAGCUACAGAGCCCUGGAAAGCAGGAGAAUCACGUGCAGUCUUUGCUGCUCCGAGAGGCCCCAGGUGCCUCCGCCACGGCUUCUGUGACGCUGUCACCUGCGCUGUGACCUGCUCCGGAGUCAUAAAGAGGACGCCGGGACACCAAGAAGCAGGGAAAUGUUAAAGAGUUUGUUGGAGCAACAGCGAUUCCGAGUGAGAAACACCCGGUCAUGGCUUGUGAUUGAAGAAAAGGCUUUUAUAAGUUGCAUGAGGAGGCAAACAGGAUUAAAUACUUGAUUAGUUACAGUGAUGCUGUCGCCGUAUGUGGACUUGUCAACCUGAAAUAAAAGAAUCAGAUUCCA